CGAACGAACGCUGGCGGCAUGCCUAACACAUGCAAGUCGAACGAGACCUUCGGGUCUAGUGGCGCACGGGUGCGUAACGCGUGGGAAUCUGCCCUUGGGUUCGGGAUAACAGUUGGAAACGACUGCUAAUACCGGAUGAUGACUUCGGUCCAAAGAUUUAUCGCCCAGGGAUGAGCCCGCGUAGGAUUAGCUAGUUGGUGAGGUAAAGGCUCACCAAGGCGACGAUCCUUAGCUGGUCUGAGAGGAUGAUCAGCCACACUGGGACUGAGACACGGCCCAGACCUCCGUACGGGAGCAGCAGUAGGGAAUAUGGACAAGUGGGACGAAAGCCUAGACUCCAGACAAGUCGCGCGUGAGUGAUGGAAGUCCGUUAAGGGUUAUAAA
rnacentral:rRNA from 1 species